GAUGAAGAACGUAGCGAAAUGCGAUACUUGGUGUGAAUUGCAGAAUCCCGUGAACCAUCGAGUCUUUGAACGCAAGAUGCGCCUCAAGCCAUUAGGUUGAGGGCACGUCUGCCUGGGCGUCACAUAUCGUUGCCUGAUGCCAGUUUCCUCGUGAUGGGUGACUGUGCAGGGCGAAUGAUGGCUUCCCGUGAGCAUUGUUGCCUCAUGGUUGGUUGAAAAUUGAGUCCUUGGUAGGGAGCGCCGUGAUAGAUGGUGGUUGAGUGACGAACGAGACCCAAUCAUGUGAGACCCCUACCGAAUUUGGCCUUCAUGACCCACAUGCGUCUUUGGAACGCUCAUGACGAGACCUCAGGUCAGGCGGGGCUACCCGCUGAGUUUAAGCAUAUCAAUAAGCGGAGGA
rnacentral:misc_RNA from 1 species